CCACUUCCCCACAUCUGGCCCCACUCUGGUCCCCUUACCAGCUUCAGGCCCACUUCCCCACACUCUGGCCCCCUUACCCGCCUCAGGCCCACACUCUGGCCCCCUUACCAGCUUCAGGCCCCUUACCAGCUUCAGGCCCACUUCCCACCACUCUGGUCCCUUACCAGCUCAGGCCCACUUCACACCCUGAUCCCUUACCAGCUUCAGGCCCAUUCCCCACACCCUGGCCCUUACCAGCUUCAGGCCCACUUCCCCACUCUGGCCCCUACCAGCUUCAGGCCCACAUCUGGUCCCUUACAGCUUCAGGCCCCACUUCCCACCUCGGCCCCUUACCAGCUUCAGGCCCACACCACUCUGGCCCCCUUACCAUUCAGGCCCACACUCUGGCCCCCUUACCAGCUUCAGGCCCACUUCCCCUACUCUGGCCCCCUUACCAGCUUCAGGCCCACUUCCCCACACUCUGGCCCCCUUACCAGCUUCAGGCCCACUUCCACCACUCUGGUCCCUUACAGCUUAGGCCCACUCC
rnacentral:lncRNA from 1 species